GGCUGUUCGACAUCUUUUUUAAGAUUUGUUGAAAUCGUGAAACGCAGCAACUCAUGUAUUUUUUCGUCUGCUACUAGUGACUUGUGUAGUUCUGCGAAAUAUUUAUUUAAAAAAAAAACAGUGAUAGAAAAGGGGGUUAAGACCUCUUUUGAACUCAGAUACUUCAAUAUCAACAAUGAGGAAGAGGAUGAUGAUGAUGACAAGGAAUAAGUUCGUCUCCCCGUUGUUUCGUUUUUGCUGUAAAGUAAUAAAAAAUGACCAUUAUAUUUGUACAAUUGUUACUGCAUUAAACUUGACACCAUUCCU
rnacentral:lncRNA from 1 species